GGAAUUGUUCGCAAUGGGCGCAAGCCUGACGACGCAACGCCGCGUGGAGGAUGAAGAUCUUCGGGUCGUAAACUCCUGUCGAAUGGGACGAAUAGGGUGUGGGUUCACAGCCCGCCACCCUGACGGUACUGUUAAACGAAACCCCGGCUAACUCCGUGCCAGCAGCCGGGGUAAUACGGGGGGGGUAAGCGUUGUUCGGAAUUACUGGGCGUAAAGGGCUCGUAGGCGGCCAACUAAGUCACACGUGAAAUCCCUCAGCUUAACUGGGGAACUGCGUGUGAUACUGGAUGGCUUGGAUCCGGGAGAGGGAUGCGGAAUUCCAGGUGUAGCGGUGAAAUGCGUAGAUAUCUGGAGGAACACCGGUGGCGAAGGCGGCAUCCUGGACCGGUAUUGACGCUGAGGAGCGAAAGCCAGGGGAGCAAA
rnacentral:rRNA from 1 species